rnacentral:rRNA from 1 species
UACGAAGGGGGGCUAGCGUUGUUCGGAAUUACUGGGCGUAAAGCGCACGUAGGCGGACAUUUAAGUCAGGGGUGAAAUCCCAGAGCUCAACUCUGGAACUGCCUUUGAUACAGCACAUCUGGAGUCCGGAAGAGGUGGGUGGAAUUCCUAGUGUAGAGGUGAAAUUCGUAGAUAUUAGGAAGAAUACCUGUGGCGAAGGCGG